GACGAACGCUGGCGGCGCGCUUAACACAUGCAAGUCGAGCGAAGCGGCGGACGGGUGAGUAACACGUGAGUAACCUGCCUUAGACAUUGGGAUAGCCUCGGGAAACCGGGAUUAAUACCAAAUGGUCUAAGAUGGACUCGGGUCCCAUUAGCUAGUUGGUGAGGUAACGGCCCACCAAGGCGACGAAGUGUGGCCGGCCUGAGAGGGUGAACGGCCACAUGGGAACUGAGAAACGUUCCAAACUCUACGGGGGGCAGCAGGGGGGAAUAUUGCACAAUGGAGGGAACUCUGAUGCAGCGACGCCGCGUGAACGAAGAAGGCUUUCGAGUCGUAAAGUUCUUUUAUAUGGGAAGCGGUACCAUAAGAAAAAGCCCCGGCUAACUACGUGCCAGCAGCCGCGGUAAUUC
rnacentral:rRNA from 1 species